rnacentral:rRNA from 1 species
UACGUAGGGUGCAAGCGUUAUCCGGAAUUACUGGGCGUAAAGCGCACGCAGGCGGUUCGCCAAGUUUGGAGUGACAGUUGUCGGCUCAACCGAUAAAGGACUUCAAAAACUGGUGAACUUGAGAGCGAGAGAGGAACAUGGAACUCCAGGUGUAGUAGUGAAAUGCGUAGAUAUCUGGAAGAACACCAAAGGCGAAGGCAAUGUUCUGGCUCGUUUCUGACGCUCAGGUGCGAAAGCCAGGGGAGCGAACGGG